GGGGAAUAUUGGACAAUGGGGGGAACCCUGAUCCAGCCAUGCCGCGUGUAUGAAGAAGGCCUUCGGGUUGUAAAGUACUUUCAGCGAGGAGGAAGGCGUUAAGGUUAAUAACCUUAGCGAUUGACGUUACUCGCAGAAGAAGCACCGGCUAACUCCGUGCCAGCAGCCGCGGUAAUACGGAGGGUGCAAGCGUUAAUCGGAAUUACUGGGCGUAAAGCGCACGCAGGCGGUCUGUCAAGUCGGAUGUGAAAUCCCCGGGCUCAACCUGGGAACUGCAUUCGAAACUGGCAGGCUAGAGUCUUGUAGAGGGGGUAGAAUUCCAGGUGUAGCGGUGAAAUGCGUAGAGAUCUGGAGGAAUACCGGUGGCGAAGGCGGCCCCCUGGACAAAGACUGACGCUCAGGUGCGAAAGCGUGGGGAGCAAAC
rnacentral:rRNA from 1 species